rnacentral:rRNA from 1 species
UAACCCUUUGUUGUCCGACUCUGUUGCCUCCGGGGCGACCCUGCCUUCGGGCGGGGGCUCCGGGUGGACACUUCAAACUCUUGCGUAACUUUGCAGUCUGAGUAAACUUAAUUAAUAAAUUAAAACUUUUAACAACGGAUCUCUUGGUUCUGGCAUCGAUGAAGAACGCAGCGAAAUGCGAUAAGUAAUGUGAAUUGCAGAAUUCAGUGAAUCAUCGAAUCUUUGAACGCACAUUGCGCCCCCUGGUAUUCCGGGGGGCAUGCCUGUUCGAGCGUCAUUUCACCACUCAAGCCUCGCUUGGUAUUGGGCAACGCGGUCCGCCGCGUGCCUCAAAUCGUCCGGCUGGGUCUUCUGUCCCCUAAGCGUUGUGGAAACUAUUCGCUAAAGGGUGUUCGGGAGGCUACGCCGUAAAACAACCCCAUUUCUAAGGUUGACCUCGGAUCAGGUAGGGAUACCCGCUGAACUUAAGCAUAUCAAUAA